rnacentral:rRNA from 1 species
ACAGCAGUCGCCGCGGUAAUACGAAGGGUGCAAGCGUUAAUCGGAAUUACUGGGCGUAAAGCGUGCGUAGGCGGUUUGUUAAGUCUGUUGUGUAAUCCCCGGGCUCAACCUGGGAAUGGCAAUGGAUACUGGCAAGCUAGAGUGUGUCAGAGGAUGGUGGAAUUCCCGGUGUAGCGGUGAAAUGCGUAGAGAUCGGGAGGAACAUCAGUGGCGAAGGCGGCCAUCUGGGACAACACUGACGCUGAGGCACGAGAGCGUGGGGAGCAAACAGGAUUAGAGACCCCCGUAGUCCCUGUCUCUUAUAC